GAUGGACGCUGGCGGCGUGCUUAACACAUGCAAGUCGAACGGAAAGGCCCAAGCUUGCUUGGGUACUCGAGUGGCGAACGGGUGAGUAACACGUGGGUGAUCUGCCCUGCACUUCGGGAUAAGCCUGGGAAACUGGGUCUAAUACCGGAUAGGACCACAUUUUGGAUGGUGUGGUGGAAAGUUUUUCGGUGUGGGAUGAGCUCGCGGCCUAUCAGCUUGUUGGUGGGGUAAUGGCCUACCAAGGCGUCGACGGGUAGCCGGCCUGAGAGGGUGUACGGCCACAUUGGGACUGAGAUACGGCCCAGACGCCGACGGGAGGCAGCAGUGGGGAAGAUUGCACAAGGGGCGCAAGCCUGAUGCAGCGACGCCGCGUGUGGGAUGACGGCCUUCGGGUUGUAAACUCCUUGCGCUAGGGACGAAGCGUUAUGUGACGGUACCUGGAGAAGAAGCACCGGCUAACUACGUG
rnacentral:rRNA from 1 species